rnacentral:lncRNA from 1 species
CGUUCCAACCUUUUUAUGCUUCUCACCCAGACUGAGAUAGAAGAAGGAGCCACCCAAACCCUUCAUUGUCUCUGAAGCCAUGUCCAACCCCACGUCGCUUCCACCCGGCUUUCGCUUCCAUCCGACCGACGAAGAACUCAUCCUUCACUACCUGAAGAAUCGAGCAGCGUCGGUGCCGUGCCCAGUUUCGAUCAUCGCCGAGGUCGAUAUCUACAAGUUUGAUCCAUGGGAUCUUCCUGGUUAGUGUCUUAGCAGCAGUAGCUGUCCAAGUGCAACAUGUGUUGCACACUAGCUUCUCUCUCUCCUUUUUUUUUUUAAUAUCAUGAUUAUAUGAUUGCAUGGUUUGGUAGUUUAUGAAUAUUCUUAAAUAUUUGUUUCAGCUAAGGCGAUGUUUGGGGAUCGAGAGUGGUACUUCUUUAGUCCGAGGGACCGUAAGUACCCGAACGGGAUAAGGCCAAACCGGGCAGCUGCAUCUGGGUAUUGGAAGGCAACUGGGACUGAUAAGCCGAUCCAUACGAGCAAAGGGAAUGAGAAUAUUGGUGUUAAGAAGGCCUUGGUGUUCUACAAGGGUAGGCCACCUAAGGGAUUGAAGACCAACUGGAUCAUGCAUGAGUACCGCCUUGCUGAAGCUCAGAACAGCAACAGCUACAAGCCUAUGAAGUUUGGAGACUCUUCCAUGAGGGUAAGGAAGUGAUCUUGUCCCAGAGAACCCUUCUUUUUUCUCUUGUUCUUUCUUUUCUGCUGUAGUAAUUCCAAGAUAUUUUCUUUCUUUGCAUAAAGUCUAAACCAUGAGUCUUGGCCUUUGGGAUUGUUAUUGACAAAACAGCCCUUACAGGUUAAAGAAAAUGAGGCGUGGAUGUCCUUCCAGAUGUAGAUCGCACAAAAACACCCUUCACUUGAUUAACUAGAUUGGAAUUAUUGUCACGUCCAAUGCUUUUUAACCCGCCAUGUUAUUGAAUAAAUACACUAACAUGUCGAUAUGAACUCAACCAUAUUUUUUUUUCAAUUUGGGUUUGAUGAAAAGGACUUCAAGUGAUGCUUCGCAUCAGUUAUUGACUAAAAUACCAGUCGGUGUAUUACAGAUAAGUUUCAUCGAUUAAGCGCAAUAUUCCAGCCCACCUACCACUAGGACUGAGACUGUUUUAGUUUAGAGGGUUGUUGUUGUUAUAAUUAUAAUUAUAAUUAUAAUCAUUAUAAUUAUUAUUAUUUAUUGUUGAUUAUCUUUAACUUCAUAUAGAUGCAUGCUCAGAAUAAUUACUGCAACUCUUUUGUUUUAUACUUGCAAACUUCAAUCAUAUCAAUUGAUAUAUACUUCUGCUUCUCUCCAUUUGCAGUUGGAUGACUGGGUCCUUUGUCGAAUCUACAAGAAGAGCCACCAUCUCCCGUCGGUUCCAACACCAAUGGAUCGAGAGCAAGAAGACUCGGGCAUCGAAGAUAGCUACUACUCAAACUUAACAAACAUCACGCCACAAAACCCUCUAAGACUACAUAAGUCUUCCUCUAUAUCUGAAUUGCUUGAGGACUACUCUUCACUCUCACAUCUAUUUGACAACCAGCCUGAAAUACCCGGAUCAUCAGACCAUGCUUACAUUAUGCCUCAGCCAAGUUCAAACCAACUCUUCAUUAACAGCAGUGGCAGGUACAACUUAGUUCAGCAGCUCCCCCAAGCAGAACCCACUGCUCCAAACGCUGAAAACUAUUUAAAGCGCCAGAGAAUGUCGGACAUUUACUCAGA